GCCCAAGGGGGAGUCUGGCGCCAAGCCGCCGAAGCGGGCCCCCCAGGAACCUCAGAAGGCAUGCCGUCGGCCCAGACACACAAGGGACAAUGGCUGCUACCCGCAGAGACACUGAGCCCAGCCCUCACGUCCCCAUGAGUCGGCUUCAAAGUGGCUAAUGUUGGGACUGUUUGGUUCGCGCUCACGCUCAACACUGAGUGAAUGAACUGAGGUGGCAUACUGGGGGCUGUGCCCAGCCAGGACUGACCUCUUCAGGCCUCCGAUUCUGGCUCAGAGCAGCAGAGACCAAUUUCGUCAAGGCCUUCGUCUGGACAAGGGCUCACGCGACGCUACCCAGCCUGCGUGGCCCGCCCGGACCGUGAAGGGACAGUCCUCCCGGCUGCCUCUGGACACUACUCGGCCGCUAGGGUUCUCGCCACAGUCCUGCCCUCAACCAUAAUGAAUGGAGGAAUGAACACGGCCGAGGUCCUGGAUUCUCGCUCAGCCUCGUCUCUGCCAGUGUGUCCUGGGCCAGAGGCGGAGCCCCAGCCCCAUCCCCUUCAACCGGAGGGACCUCAGAAUUGUUGGUGUUUCCACGGGCCCCCUCCGGGACAAUGACUUUUGCUCAGCUGGUCCCCUGAAGCAUCCCCUCCAAUCUCCGUGAUGUCUCUUUCAAAGUACAUAAUGCUGGACUUGGCCGGCCGCCCCCCCAUUGACCAAGAAAGUUCUAGAGGAUGGCAUUCCGCGCAUCUCUACCAGACCUCGCCGGUUGCCCUUCACGGAUGGCCACAGGAGCGGAAAACCCCUCCUGAUGCUCGGCUUGCUUCCAGGGGGGGCUCAUUCAGGUGCCCGUCUUCCCUCUCCCAGCAUGUGGGAUCCCCCUUUCCCCUGCUUCUUCCUUAGUGGAAAGGCAGGCUGGAGGGCCCAAGGGGGAGUCUGGCGCCAAGCCGCCGAAGCGGGCCCCCCAGGAACCUCAGAAGGCAUGCCGUCGGCCCAGACGCACAAGGGACAAUGGCUGCUGCCCGCAGAGACACUGAGCCCAGCCCUCACGUCCCCAUGA
rnacentral:lncRNA from 1 species